CAAAUUCAUUCAUCUUCUUCAACAAGAACAAAGAAUUCCAUAAGGCUGAAACUAAAAAAAAAAAAAUCACAAAAUUAUUUAAGAAACAUGUUUAACAAUUUUUUAGAGGGACUUAACAAGUUUUUAGGGGAAUCAACAAAAUCCAUAAACUUGAUGGAUUCAUCAAACAACAACACGAGAACAACAAGUUUUGUCUACUUUUAAAUUUGUCCAUAACACAAAUUCACAGAAACAAGAACAACAACACAAGAACAACAGCAUCCAUAAAAAGUUCAUCAACAUCCAUCAAAUCACAGUUUCGAAUCUGAAACAGAGUAAAAGUUCAUGAAUCUGAAUUCGACUCAAGGGAUUUACAAUUCGAAAAUUCAUCCAACUCAAGGGAUUUAAGAAUCAAAAUAAAAAGGAUUUAAGACAAAGAAAACUUGAUGGCAAAAUUGAAAAGGGAUUUGAUGAGUGGACUGUUGCUUUUCUGAGAAAUUGAAA
rnacentral:lncRNA from 1 species